rnacentral:tRNA from 1 species
GUGAGUAUAGCUCAGUGGUAGAGCGCAUGCUUAGCAUGCACGAGGUCCUGGGUUCAAUCCCCAGUACCUUCA